AACAUAACUGUUUUUUAAUCUCUCUCUCUGGCUCUCUGUCUCUGUGGAUCUUUUUGGCUCUAUCUGGUUGCUGUGGCUGUUAUUUUGGUUAUUGUUGGAAUCUGGCUAUCGUUUAUGAUUUGCGUUAUCGUCAAUACAUCUGUAUAUAUUCAUCAAGUGGAGAGCAUUAAUUAAGUUAUAGACAUCAGUCGCUUAUUCCUUAUACGGCUAAAACUGCAGCCGCGUUCGAGCUAAACCCUAGCUCCUACAUUGUUUUUGAAACUAAACAUUUG